rnacentral:rRNA from 1 species
UGCGUAACGCGUAUGCAACCUACCAUCAACAGGGGGAUAACACUGAGAAAUUGGUACUAAUACCCCAUAAUAUCUCAUGCGGCAUCGCAUGGGGUUGAAAACUCCGGUGGUUGAUGAUGGGCAUGCGUUGUAUUAGCUGGUUGGUGAGGUAACGGCUCACCAAGACGACGAUACAUAGAGGGACUGAGAGGUUAACCCCCCCACAUUGGUACUGAGACAUGGACCAAACUCCUACGGAAGGCAGCAG